AUGUCUUGCUUUGCCUAUUUGUACGUCUCAUCUCGAUGUUUCCGCCAUCGGUUGGGGUGUGACAGAUUGGUAUCAGAGCCAUAACUAUAGGGAAUUAGGUAGAAUUGCUAUACAUUUCCCUAGUCUAUAGUAGGAGUACUCUGAUACCAGAUUGGUAUCAGAGCCAUAACUAUAGGGAAUUAGGAAUGUCUUGCUUUGCCUAGUCUAUAGUUUAGGAGCUUUCUCAUUUAUUUGCUGUUAAAGACAUCAUUCCUUUCUCUCUUCCUUGUUUCCCUCUAUUCUUUUGGACUUCUAAUAUACAAGCCUUUCCUAAGGCUAACACAAUACACACAUGGAAGCUUUGAAGACACUCUUACAACACAAUCGAAAUGAUUCAUCAAGAUAGGGGUGAUUCCCACACUUGGUGAUGAUUUUCACUCAGCUAUACUUUGAUUUUUGCACGAAAUCUACCCUCAAGUUAGGAGUGAUAUCCAAACCUUGUUGGGAGUUUUCCAUUUCAUAUUCUAGUGGACCCUUAUCUUAGGAUAAGUACCAACCACAUUAGGGUACGAUGUUAUCAAGUUAGAGGUGAAACUCGCAUCUUGUUUAACUAGUCCCAUUCCUUGAUUUUCGAUCUCGCCAAAGUUUCGAUUUCCCAAUCGAUUGAGGACGUGUAGUAACUGGAAGGACAAAUAUCGUUAGUCGCUCCUCGAUGAGAGUAUUUGUCCAUUAGGCCAAAGCACGUCUCCUUAAUUCGAAAAGGAUUUCGAUUCACUUUGGAAUAGUUUUAUGUUACGUUCCGUGACAAUCCAUAUUUUUAUGAUAAAUCUCUUUUUUAUGUUAUCUCAAUUAUCAUGUGAUUUACAUUUUGAGCGUUAUCUUCAUUUCAAGUUUGGGAACACGAAUCACGUUAUUUUCGCAAUCUAAAACAAAUAAAUAAUUACUCUAUCGUGAACAAACUAAAUUUAUCUUGCUUUCAUUAUACAUGAUAUUCUAUGUGUAACAUUAUGUCAUCCUAUGUGCAACGCUAUGUUAUUCUAUGUGAAACUAUUUGGCAAUUCAUGCGAAA
rnacentral:lncRNA from 1 species